AAAAAUUAAAAAAAAAAAAUAAAACCUAAAUUUUCUUUUAAAAAAAAAACCAUUUUUUCUAAGAACAUUGUUUAAGCUCUGUUUCUGCUAGCUUGAGCUCUCUAAUCAAAUUAAGUUAAAGCUUUGAGUUUUUGCAGAUUAAAUCUCAAUGUAAAACUCCUCUUCUAGCUCCAACUUAGCUUUUCAAAACUCAGAGCUUUCAUUUUUUUUUUAAAGUUCAUUUUUUUCUUCUCUUUUGGGUUUUGAAUUUUUAAGCUUGUUUUACUUACAGUGCUUUGAUUUUUCAGUUUUUUUUUUAUUUUAAUGAAAUUUGUUUUUAGAUGAUUUGAACUGAAAAUCAAAAUGGGUUUUUGGUAAAAUCUUGAAAAACAAAAAUAAAAUCCACAGGGUUUAAGCAUGGAUGCAAGAGAAACUGUGAGUAGUAGUAGUGGAGGUGGGGUUACAGUGGUGGGAUCCGAUGUUCCAUCGAACUACAAGAUCGCUCCAAGGUCCGCCGACAACCCUAGCUCCGUCCCUGGAUCCGCGCCACCUCCGCAGCCGCAACCGGCGAUGGUGCCUCCGCCAUCCACGGCGGCGACGUUGCCUUUGAAGAAGAAACGAGGAAGGCCAAGAAAAUAUGGUCCUGACGGCAGCAUCACGAUGGCGUUGUCUCCAAAGCCGAUAUCCUCGGCAGCUCCGGCUCCGCCUCCGGUGAUCGAUUUCUCUGCUGAGAAACCAAGGAAAAUAAAGCCGGUGAGCAAGGCAAAGUACGAGCUGGAGAAUUUAGGUAAAUGAAUAAUUUUUAUAAGCACCCUUUUGAGCUGAAGGUGGUUUUUAUACUUGUUUUGUGAUCAAAUGUGUGAUUUUUGGUUUUUAAAUUGGUAAUUUUGUGUUGUUCAAGUACGGUUUUUAUGGAUGUGGGACCUGUGAUAUGAUGCGUCAAUUGAGAUCUGUGUCUGGGUUUGUGGGUGGUGCUGGUUGGUUUGGAAAGAUAGUGAGAGAGGUAUAUGGGUAGGUGUGGGAACGAGGGAAUCUUGCUAUUGUAAGAUGUCAUUUGGCCUUUCUCUCCUAUUUUGGGAAGAGAAUUUGUGGAAGGGUACUAUAUGGGGCACCUGCUUAAAGUCUGGUAAAAGUUUGCUGUGUCAUAGUGAACAGAAUCGGACUAUAGAGAGAUGUCAUCAACUGGCAGGCUGACCUGCGGCAAAUGGGGAAAGAAGAGAGUUGCUGUUUCCGUGAUUUGUUGACAUUUACUGUUUCUGUGUAUUAUGUCGUGUUUUCUAGGUGUUUUUUCCUUGUUGGUCUUGAUAUUCUUGUUUCUUCUGUAGUCUGAUUCUUUUUUCUGCCAAGUGGGUCUUGAUGUGUGCAUAUCUGGAAUUAUGGUUUUGACUUGUCAUAUUUUCCAUCUCUUUUUAUGCUGGGUACUUGGUCGCCUUUCUGAGUUCACGUUGUUUUAUCAUUUUUCAAGGUGAAGUAGAAAAAUCAAUUCAAUAUCCAGCAAGCUGCAUGAGUGUCACAUGGAAAUGAAAAACCUUACCUUUCUAUGAUUAAUAAAGAACAUAAUAUUCAUAAUCUGGAUUAGUCUUGCUUUGUUGAGUUAUUUGUAUGACUCUUAUAUUUCCACUUUUGUCAGGUUGGCCAUUUGGCCUGUUUCUGAAAUAAAAGUUUAUAGCUGAUAUGAAAGAAUACAAGGAUAGAUCUGAUAAGCAUGUAGCUUCUCAGUUCUUUAUCUUUACAGCUUUUAUAAAUGCAUUACUAUUCAGACCUCUUUUCAAAUUGUAAAUACCACAAAACACAUUGCCAUCUAUUUCCAACGCAGUUGUAUUUUACAAGAUGUCCAGUAUUUUAUUAUCACAAGGGACUCGGUUUCAAUUAGGGCUGCAUAAUUUGUGAUUAGUCAAUUUUCUUUUCCUUUUUCAUUUUUGAUUAUGGAUACAGUGUGCUCAUCAUGAAAACCAAAAAGAAGAAAUUAAUGUGCAUUUUUAAAUUGAAGAUUUCUUUGUCAUAUGUGACUUGUGGGUACUAUCCUUCUUCUUGUUUGGAUUGGUGUGGAGUGGUUAGUGAGGGAGUGACUUGGUUUCUAUAAGGUUUUCUAGACAUUGCUCAUCACUUAUUAAGUGAAAAGGGUUUGAUUGAAAUGAUUACUAUUCUCUAUAGUUCUUGUUUAAUGUUUUGGUAGUUCUAUCAUUCCACAAAACAAAAUCUGAAUUUGAACUAUAUAGGUUGCCUGCAGUAGGCAGUCUAAGCCCCUAAAGAAUAUGUCUUCUUAUCCCUGUUGCAUUUGAUGCUUUAAUUCUGGCCUGUAAUAUUUUUCUCUUUUGAGGUAGUGAUGCUGAAUGCUCUUGAUACAUGAAGUUGAGAUUCCACUUACGGAUAAUCUGAUAGCUUGGCCUAGGUACAUUAUUAUUGUCAAUUGCAGCAUAAUAUACAGAGUUUCCCUAGCUAUGAGUACGGCUUAGGAAAAUAACAUUGUAGGUACUGCCAGUGGCCGACCAUGUCUAAUUGGCAAGGGCUUGCCCAUUGCACGAGAAGGUUUGAAGUCUUCUCUGAUUGCUAUGGGGAAGGCUUUCUCUUCGUUAUUCUUGAUUUCAACACAAUGAUUCAAGUCAUCUUGAUUACUUUGUAGACUUUACAUUGUCAUUUGUGUUGUUUUCCCUCUGUAUUGUAACUAUUUGCCAUCUCAUUUCUUUCAUUUUGAAUAUCACAACUCCAUAUCAUAAAGCCCUUACUCAGACACUUUCGUCAAGUUAUUUAUGCCUUUGGUACAUUUGUAUAUCAUGCAACAAUAAGAAGGAAUAUAUGUGAAUAAAGGCUUUUGUUUCUAAAGAAAUUAAGGCCUUUGAGUAAUUCUCUCACUUCUAAUUAAUUAUGUCUUCAUAGGGUUUUAACUGGAAGUUAAUCAGCAUUAUUCAACUUCCUUGUAUGAAUUAUUAAUGCCAAUACUUCACAAGUUAUUAAAUAAUUCUUAGUUUUUGAAUUUCAUUUAUGUAUUUGCUUUUCUUUGGAAGUUGGGAGAGGCAUGUUGGAUAAAUUCUGUCUUCAUUUUUUUUAAUGUAUUCCACCACUUCCCUCCUCUUGUACACUCUCAUUAGGUUCUAGCUGCAAUGAUUUGCUUAGCAGAUGUACUUGAUUCAGUUGAUUGUUUAAAUCACUUGAUUCUCGCUAAAGAUAAGGAACUCAAAAGUUCUCUCUAUUUCUCUCCCAAGUUCUGAUGCUGAAUCUCUACCCUUUCUGAAUAUGAUUAUUUUAGGAUACUUCAUCCAUUAUUUUUCUAAUUUCACCCUCAGGAGAAAGGCUAUGGCCUUCCCCUUCCUGGAAUGUCAUGAAGCUAG
rnacentral:misc_RNA from 1 species